rnacentral:misc_RNA from 1 species
UAGAAAAAAAAAAAAAAAAAGAAGACAUUUAAACUAGUGGCAACAGGCGCUAUUUUUUCUACAAUGCAUUGUGCUCACAGUAUUUUCAAGAAAUUGCCCUUUGAAUGUAGACACAACAAAAUUGCUACAUGUACUAAAUUCACAGUUUUCUCUACUUUGCCUUUUGUAUGUGUUGACAUGUGAAAAAACAGUAACUUAACAAGAAUAUCCUUUACACGGUAGAAAUUUGAAAU